rnacentral:rRNA from 1 species
AUUGAACGCUGUCGGCAGGCCUAACACAUGCAAGUCGAGCGAGUGGCGGACGGGUGAGUCAUGUCUGGGGAUCUGCCCGAUAGAGGGGGAUAACUACUGGAAACGGUAGCUAAUACCGCAUACUAUCGGAUGAACCCAUAUGGGAUUAGCUAGUAGGUGGGGUAAAGGCUCACCUAGGCGACGAUCUCUAGCUGGUCUGAGAGGAUGACCAGCCACACUGGGACUGAGACACGGCCCAGACUCCUACGGGAGGCAGCAGUGGGGAAUAUUGCACAAUGGGCGCAAGCCUGAUGCAGCCAUGCCGCGUGUAUGAAGAAGGCCUGAGGGUUGUAAAGUACUUGCAGCGUGGAGGCGUUACCCGCAGAAGAAGCACCGGCUAACUCCGUGCCAGCAGCCGCGGUAAUAC